AAAUAGCUUGUCGUUCAAUACACACUAAGAUUAUUAUCAAACGUCGACUACUUACAAACAUUAAUUACACAAAUCAACAACAAAAACUAGCAGCUUAGUUGAAACCGGCUUCCUCAAACUUCAUCUUGAAUCCUACACAAUCUAUUAAGGUAUGAGCAUUCUAAUGUCUAGUAGAGUACCAUCAAACCCCUCAAGGUCAGCAAUCACAGUUAAUCAAAGUGUCAUGCAUCAAACAACACAAGAUAUAUAAAUUAUGUAAUCAAACCAGAUAUAUAAAUUUGUAUAUGCGGUGAUGCCAUUAACUCACUCCCUUCUAAUUCCACUAACAUACCUUAGGGCAACAAGCAUGCAUGUCCCAUACUACGCAUUUUACCACUGUGGCUCCAAAUACCCUAAAUAUGAACUAGUGCCUAUCCGUCCCUUAACCCAUUUUCUUUUGUUUAUGAAUUUCUCAACUUUCACUUUUUAUUAGAGGCCAUGCUCCCA
rnacentral:lncRNA from 1 species